UAGUGAUUAUACUUAAGUUUUUUCUUGGUGAAUUUUACUUUUUUUGUUGUAAAUUGGGUGAUAUGAGGGAGUUGGUUGAUUGGAUCUAUAUAUUGCCACUGCAGUCAUUGAGAGUAAAGUGAUGCAGUUUAAAAUAUGCAAACAAUUGUAGUUCGAGAAAUGGUGACGGCAAUAAGUAAUAGAAAAAAAAAAGAGUACAUAAGUGAUUAAGUAUCAAU
rnacentral:lncRNA from 1 species